rnacentral:tRNA from 1 species
AACUAAUAAGCUUUAAGAAGCAUAUGUUUUGAAAGCAUAAGAUAAAGAUAGGUCUUUAUUAGUUU